rnacentral:rRNA from 1 species
GACAGAGGCCUCGAGCGUUAGGCGGAAUCACUGGGCUUAAAGCGUGUGUAGGCGGAUCGUUAAGUGCCUUGUGAAAUCCCACGGCUUAACUGUGGAACGGCUUGGCAUACUGGCGAUCUUGAGCCACCUAGGGGCAACUGGAACAGACGGUGGAGCGGUGAAAUGCGUAGAUAUCGUCUGGAACGCCAAUGGUGAAGACAGGUUGCUGGGGGUGCGCUGACGCUGAGACACGAAAGCCAGGGGAGCAAACGGG